CAAAGAGACACCAUCUCUGCUACAGCGAAAUUUGCCUUUCCCACUCUCUCUCCUCUCGCCCCGACUCAGAAGUCCAAUCCAACGCAGCUUUUAUUUGCCAGCAGAUCCCAACAAGGUAUGUGAGGAUCGUCGUUAUAUCUAUUCAACUCACAGAAUACUCUGUUCUGUGCAUGCAUAGCUUGACUGAUCAUUCCCUUGAUUUUGUUGAUGAAUUCGUGUAAUUCUGUGACUAGGGUUCUUGAUUUUUUGUUAAUUUUUUUGGGUGUGUGGAGUUGUUACUGAUGAUUUUGAAAUGAACUCAGAUACAGUUGUAAUGGAGGGGAGUGAGGUUGGGGCUAAUGUUUCAGAAUCAACUGCCACAGUUAGUGUCCCUUCAGCUGAUAAAACCCUAGGUGAGACUUUGAGUGGUGAGGAUCAGAGUCAGUCUGGGGGUACGGUUUCGGAGGGCGAUAGAGUUUGUGAUGGAGAGGACAUCAUGGUGGAAGUGAAGGGUUCUGAAAUUUUUGUUGAUGGGGUUGGUGGGCAACGGGUUGGAGGGGAUUCCAGUGAGGAGAGAGAAGUGAGGUCUGCGGAUGGAGGGGGUGUUGUAGCUGAUGAUUUAGCAUCAAACGGAGUUGGCGAUUCUGGCAGUGAACUGUGUAAUCCCAAAAGUGAAAAUGGGGUCGGGGGUUCUUUGGCAGAUGCUGGAUCAAGAGAAAACAACCACAAUCUCGGGGCAGAUGAUGUCGUGGGGAUGGCAAGUAAGGAGGAUGUGGAGAGAGGCAUAGAAAAUGGGGUUGGGGGUUCUUUGGCAGAAGCUGGAUCAAGAGAAAACAACCACAAUCUUGGGGUAGAUGACGUUGUGGCGAUGGAAAGUGAGGAGGUUGUGGAGAGAAGCAUGGAAUCGAUUGAUGGCUCACGUAAUUUAGAUGGUGAAGCUCAAAAUCAAGAAAUUGAAGGGCCUUUUGUUGAUGGGGGUUCAUUGAGUGAACAAAACCAAAGUGUAGGUGUGGCAAUGACAAGUGAGGAAAGUGAGGUGGGUGUAGAGAGAGGUAGGGAGUUGGUUGAGGAUCUGGUUCAUAUGGUUGAUGGCUUACAUACUUUAGACGGUGAAGCUCAAAAUCAUGAAAAUGAAGGGCCUUUGGUUGAUGCUGCUUCAUCAGGUGAACAAAACCAAAUUGUAGGUGCAGAGAAAGUUAAGGAAAUAGUGAACGAGGAGGAUUCGGAGUGGGUUGAAGCUUUUGUAGAUGGCGAAGGUGAUACGGUUGGUGAUGUGGCAUCUAAAAAAAAUGAUGUUUUGGAUGAUGAAGUAUUGAAUCCUGGAAUUGAAAACGUGGUCGAGUGUCCUUUGGCAACCAUUGGGUCGUCUGAUGUACCCACACAAGUUCUUCCGGAGGAAACUGAGAUGGUUGUCAAUCAGGAGGGUUUAACAGCCAAAAAUGAUGUUUCAGGAAGUGAUGCCCUGGAGAGAGGUAUGUCUUUAGAAAAAGAUCAAAUUUCAACAGUUGAUGUGGUUAAUGGGACGACAAAAAGAAGCAGCAGUGUUCAUACAAAUACUGGAUCUGUAAACAGUGAAAUCCAAGUUUCUGAUGGAGAAGCAGUUGCUGUGAUAGAAAAAGAAGAGAUUUUGCAUUCCAAAGUAGAAAUUGUGGAAACUAAUGCCUUUGAUGGGAAUUUACAUUGUUCUGCUGAAGAUGGGCAAUUGAACAUUGAGACUGGGAGUGGGAGCUCUGAAAAUUAUGGCAAUGCAUGUGUAGGUACAGAGACAGGGGCAGUAGCUGUCAUGGAAAAAGAUAUUUUGCUUUCCAAAGUUGAAUUUGUGGAAACUAAUAUAUUUGAGGGGAAUUUACGUUCUGCAGAAGAGGAGCAGAUGAAAAUUGAGAUGGUGAGUGGGAGUGUUGAAAAUUGUGGUGAUGCAUGUGCAGGUCCAGAGACAAAGGCAGUUGCAGUGGUGGAAGAAGAAGAGAUUUCACAUUCCAAAUUUGAAGUUAUAGAAACUAAUGAAUUUGAUGGGAAUUUGCAUUGUUCUGCAAAAAACCAGCAGCUGAACAUUGAGGCAGCGGGCAGGAGCACUGAAAGUUUUGGCAAUACAUGUCAUGGUCCAGAUACAGGGACAGUUGCAGUGAUGGAAAAUGAUGAGAUUUUGCACGCAAAAGAUGAAACUAUGGAAAAUAAUGUGGAAGACCAGCAGCUGAACACUGAGACUGUGGGUGGGAGCCGUGAAAGUUCUGGCAAUGCAUGUGUAUGUUCAGAGACAAAGGCAACUGCAGUGGAGGAAAAAGAAGAGAUUUUGCAAUCCAAAGUUGACAUUAUUGAAACUAAUCCUUUUGAUGUGAAUUUACAUUGUUCUGCAGAUGAUCAGCAGUUGAACAUGGAGACAGUGGGUGGGAGCAUUGAAUGUUUAGGCAAUGCUUGUGAUGGUCCAGAGACAGCAGAAGUUGCAGUGCCAGAAAAAGAAGAGAUUCUGCAUUCCAAAGUUAAAGCUGUGGAAACAAAGGCUUUUGAUGGGAAUUCAUGUUGUUCUGCAGAAGGUCAACAGUUGAACUCUGAGAUGGUGGGUGGAAGCACUGAAAAUUUUGUCAAUGCUUGUACAUGUCCAGAGGUUGGGGCAAAUUCAAUGAUGGAAAAAGAAAAGACUUUGUGUUCCAAAGAUGACGUUAUGGAAACUAAUGUCUUUGAUAGGAGUUUAUGUUGUUCUGCAGAAGAUCAGCACAUGAACGUUGAGACAGUGAGUGGAAGCGCUGAAAGUUGUGGCGAUGCAUCUGCUGGUCCAGAGGCUCGGGCAGCUGCAGUGAUAGAAGAGGGAGAGAUUUUGCAUUCGGAAGUUGAAGUUAUGGAAACUAAUGCUUUCGAUGGGAAUCCUUGUUAUUCUGCAGAAGAUGAGCAGUUAAAGACUCAGACAGUGGUUGGGAGCACUGAAAGUUCUUGUAAUGUAUGUACAUUUCCCAAAAAAGGACCUGUUGCAGCCAUGGACAAAGAAGAGAUUUUGCAUUCCCAAGUUAUGGAAACUAAUGCUUUUGAUAAGCAGUUGAACAUUGAGACAGCUGGGGGAAGCACUGAAAAUGAUGCAUGUGCACAUCCAGAGACUGGGGCAAUUGCAGUGAUGGAAAAAAAAGAGAUUUUGCAUUCCAAACCCAAAGUUAUGGAAAUUGAUGCUAAUGAUGGGAAUUCAUGUUGCUCUGUAGAAGAGCAGCAAUUGAACACUGAAAUGGUGGGCCGGAGUACUGAAAGGUCUGGCAAUGCAUGUGCAUGUCCAGACCCUGGGGCAGUUGCAGCAAUGGAAAACGAAGAGAUUUUGCAUUCUAAAGUUGAUGUUAUGGAAAGCAAUGCGUUUGAUGACAAUCUAUGUAGAUCUGCUGGUCAGCAGUUGAACAUUGAGACAGUGCACGGGAGCACUGAAAAUUGCGGCCAUGCAUGUGCAGGUGCAGAGAUGGGGGUUGCAGUAACAGAAAAAGAAGAGAGUUCAUGUUCUAAAGUUGAAGUUAUGGAAACUAAUCCUUUUGAUGGGAGUUUAUGUUGUUCUGCUGAAGAUCAGCAGCUGAACAUUGAGACUGUGGGUGGGAGUAUUGAAAACAGAGGUGAUGCAUGUGCAGGUCCAGAAUCUGACAGUAAAUCAACUGAAGUUGUCGCUGGUUGUGAGGUUGUUGAGGGUACUUUAAGUCCCAGUGUUGAAGUCCCCAAAAUUGUUGAUUUGGAUGGUGUUUUGCCUUUCUCUGCAAAUGACCUGAAUGUAAAUGUGGAUAUGGUUUGUGGAGCCAGAGAGAAGUAUAAUCAAAUCUGUGGCAAAGAGGAAAUUGCCGUGAAAGGUGAUGUUGUUCUGAAUGCUGACAAUGAAGUUCUUUGCCCUCCUGCUUUGGAUGGGAAUUUGUGUUCUGGGAAAGAUCAACUCUUGGAGGCUGAGCCAGUCAGCAGGAACACUGGAAAAGAUGGUGUGGCAUGUGCAAAUUUGGAUCUGUCCAUUGAACGAACUAAAGUUGCUGCUGAUCUGUUACCAGUUGACACCAAUAUUUCAGUCCUGAAUGUUGCAGCUAGAAAUGAGAUCUUAGCCUUUUCCGAAACUAAGCAGAACUCAAAAGUUGAUGCGCCAUGUUUAACUGGAGAGUCUAAACCAUCUCUUGAACAAACCAGAAAUCUUGAAAAACAGGAUGCAUGGGCAUCCAAAGUAGAGUUGGUGCAAGGAGUUAAUGCUUUGCAUGAGGGCAAAUCUGCAAAAGAUCAAGAGUUGAAGGUUGUGACAGUGCACGAGAGCACUGGAAAUGAUGCUUCUGCUCAUGCUGGUAAUCAAUCUUCUAGCAAACAAGCAGAAUUUGAUUCUUGUAUUGCAGCAACAGAGAAUGUUAGGGUCUCUAUUUCCAAAUAUGAAGAAACCAAUGAGGCUGCUUUGGAGGGGACUUCAGCUUUCUCAGAAAAUGAUGAUAACUUGAAGGCCAAAAGAGCGUUUGGAGGCACUGUAAAUGAUCACUGUUUACUAUCAGAUACAGAAUCCUCAGAUGAACAAAUCCCAGUUGCUGAUGGGGGAGACAAAGCAGCAAUGGAUGUCAAGACCGUGUUGGAUUCCAGAAUUGAAUUACCAGAAGUUGAUGCUAUGGAUGAGGAUCAAUGUUGUCUGGUGAAAGAUCAAGAACUGAAGGCUGAUGCAGUCUGUGGGAGCACAGAAGAGAAUGGGUUUACGCAUUCAGAUCCAAAACCCUCUGAUGAUCAAACCCUAGUUGCUGAAAAAGAGAUUGAAGUUAUAAAGGACGAGAAGGUUUCAAAGUCACAUGUUGAGGUUUUGGCCGAGAAAGAUGAAAAGAUGAAUGCAGAUGAAAAGAUGAAUGCUGUGUGUGUGGGUGGGAGCACAGAAAAUGAUGAUGUAUAUCCUAAUCUGUAUUCCUCUGCCGAGCAGACUGAACUUGGCACUCAAGUGGUGUCAUCCAUUAUUAAUGAUGAAGGGACUUCUAAUUCCAAGCUUGAUGUUUUGGGGAAUGAUGCUGCAUGUGGUAGCCUGUACGAACACAAAACUGAGCUUAAUGUUGGUGUAGUGGAUGGGAGCACAGAUAAAGCUCACAUGGAUCCUGAUUCCAGUAAAGACAUAUCAAAUCCUAAAGUUGAAGUUUUGGUGAGUCGGGUAUUGGAUGGGAAGGCAUAUCUUGCAGUAAAGGAUUGUCACGAUCCAUUGUUGAAGAUUGAAACAGUGGAUGGGAACCCAAACAACAAUGGUAUUACAGAUGUAGGUCCUUCAGUUGAAUCUCACAAAACUGAGCUUGAGGUUGACAAAACGGAUGGGAGCAUAGACAAAAAUAGCUUUGCGUGUCUCAGUCUUGAUGCCAGCCAAGAAAUACCAGAUCCUAAAGUUGAAGUUUUGGGGUCCCAUGCUUUGGACGGUAUUGUAUCUUCUUCGGAAAAAGACUUGCUGUUGAAGAUUGAGAAAGCAUCUGGGAGCCCCAAAAAAGAUGAUAUUAAACUUGUGGACCCUUCUUUAGUCGCUGACUCUCAUUUUAUUGGGGAUUGCACAUUUUCUGUUCUUAAGAAAAAUGUGGACAUGAUUGGAGAGAAUAUGUCCAUGCAAGAUGAGAAAGAAGAGACAAUUGUCCCACUAGCUGAACAAUGUACUGUUGGGUUAGAUGGGGAUCAGAGCAAGGAUCCCCUUACUGUUGUGGAGACAUCCAAACAUGGGGCUUGUGUUUUAGAAAUUUCAGACUCAGCUGUUAUCACUGUUCGUCCUCGAGUUGCGCUUGACUCUGCUGCUUUUUGUAAUGAGGGUGACUCCAGCUCCUUCUUUGUUAACGAUUGUGUCAGCCAUUUGCCAGAUGGAAAUCAAGAUUUGGAAGUUCAGAUGGUCAGCAAUCAAAUUCAUCUAGCAGAUGGGGAGCAAGUGAAGGAUACUCUUGUAUCUAAUGCCGCAACAUUUCAUGAAGCAGAGAAUAGUGUUGUGGAUGAAAAGAAUAAAUGCAGCGACUCGGAUGGAAUUCAUAUUGGGGAAAAUUCUGUUCCUAAAGCCAUUGUUUCACAUUUUAAAGAUAAUGAGUCUAUAGCUCACUCAGGGAAAUAUGAUGACUGUAAGUUGCAAGUGGAGGUUGCGAGCGAAAAGAUUUCCCUACCUGAUGAACGUAAACAUGAAGGUGCUGAGAUUCAGGAAAUGGGAGGUAUGGAGGAAUUUCCAGUGCCGGAUUUAUUGGAGAAGAGCACAUCUCUUACUCCUUCCCUGGUUGGUUCAAGUGUAGUGCAAGAAGUUGAAGUUGAAGAGGAAGUUAUUGAUACCAAACAGUUUGGUUUAGAUGGAAAGCAUGAAAUACAAGCUCAAGAACAUCCUACUGGUUUUGGGCAGAUGAAAAGCAGUGAUGAUAAAACUGUAAAACGGGGAACUAUGAAACUUGGAGUCUCUGCAAGAGUGCAUCAGGCCACUUAUGAGCUGCCGUCGGACCCUGAAGGUGAGUUUUCUGUUUCUGAUUUAGUGUGGGGGAAGGUGAGGAGUCAUCCUUGGUGGCCAGGGCAGAUAUUUGAUCCUUCAGAUUCAUCAGAAAAGGCAAUGAAAUAUCAUAAGAAGGAUUGCUAUUUGGUUGCAUACUUUGGAGAUCGAACAUUUGCAUGGAAUGAAGCAUCUUUGUUAAAGCCGUUCCGAAUGCAUUUCUCUCAGAUAGAGAAGCAGAGCAGUUCAGAAACAUUUCAUAAUGCUGUCAAUUGUGCUUUGGAGGAGGUUUCUAGACGGGUAGAGUCGGGGUUGGCUUGCUCUUGCAUUCCCAAAGAAGUUUAUGACAAAAUAAAAUAUCAGGUUGUUGAAAAUACAGGGAUACGACAAGAAUCAAGUAGAAGAGAUGAUGUGGACAAAUCUGCUGGUGUGUACUCAUUUGAACCUCUUAAACUUCUGGAGUAUAUAAAUGCAUUAGCACAGUUCCCAUCUGGUGGGAGUGACCGACUGGAACUUGUGAUAGCCAAGGCACAGUUGUUAGCAUUUAAUCGUUUAAAAGGUUAUAGCCAGCUCCCUGAAUUCCAGUUAUGUGGAGCUUUGUUGGAAACUGAUGUAGAUAUGCCACUGUCUGAGGAAAAAAGGCCCUCAAAUGAAGUGAAUGGGCAUUCGCCACCUCUUUCUGUGGAUGAUGACCUUGUUUCCGCUGGCAGGGGAAAGUUAAAAAGUCAAAACAGCUCCUCUCAUAAGCGCAAGCACAAUCUGAAGGAUAGUAUGAAUCCUAGGAAAAAAGAAAGAAGUUUGGUAGAGUUAAUGUGCAGGACUCCAUAUUCUCCAGAUCAUGAAGAUGGGUCAGAUGGGAAAGCUUCCAGUAAGUUGGUUUCAUCAUCUUCUGGAAAGAAGCGAAGAGCUAUUGAUUCUUUGGCUGAUGACUCAAUAAUGCAUGAUAGAAGAAAAAGUAUUGCAUUGGCCAAAGUUUCUGUGACCACCACUCCACCAAGUUCCAGGCAAUCCUUUAAGGUUGGUGAAUGCAUCAGUAGAGUUGCAAGUCAACUAACUAGAUCUCCCUCCAUCCUGAAGUGCACCAGUGAAAGACUCCAGAAGCUAGAUGGAAGCAGUGACAAGACUGUUGACAUUGAUUUUGAUGCUUCUCUUCAGAUAUCUGAUGAGAGAGGAAAGAUUAUUGUUCCAGUAGAAUACUCAUCCCUUGAUGAAAUGCUAUUACAACUUCACUUGGCAGCACGAGAUCCCAUGAAAGGAUAUGGUUUCCUGAAUACUGUUAUCAGUUUCUUUUCUAAUUAUAGAAAUUCUAUUAUCACUUCUAGGAGAGAAAAUGUAUCCAUGGACAGGGCAUCUGCUGGUAGAAAGAAAAAAUCAUCACAUUUCAUCAUUGGGUCUCCAGAAACAUUUGAAUUCGAGGAUAUGAAUGAUUCUUAUUGGACGGACAGGGUUAUCCAAAACAGUUCUGAAGUGCGACCAUCACGCAGAGGUCGGAAGCGAAGGGCAGAACCUCAGGUUUUGAAUGUUGACAGACAAGAUUCCCAUUUGUAUGGAAACUAUGGAUUGGCAGCAGAGAAACUUACUAACUAUGAUGAUGAGAGGAAGCAGGAUCUGUCACCGACAGAACUUAUAUUGAACUUUGCUGAGGUGAAAUCUGUUCCUUCUGAAACAAAUUUAAACAAAAUGUUUAGGCGCUUUGGGCCUUUGAGAGAAUCUGAAACAGAAGUUGAUGGGCUGACGAGCCGCGCGAGGGUGGUAUUUAAGAGAUGCUCUGAUGCAGAAGUUGCCUUAGAUAGUGCUGGAAAGUUCAACAUUUUUGGAUCAACAGUUGUUAAUUACCAACUUUGCUAUUCUCCAUCAGUAUCAUUUAAAUCUUCACCUCUUGCAAUCGCAGAAGGCCCCGAAGAUGAAACUUAGAUGUCUCAACACUGCUAAUACUCCAAUUUGCAAGUCCUCUAACUUAAUUGAGAGGUCAAGGAAACAAUACUUGAAGUGGCAGGUUAGCUGAACCUACAUCAAAUAGGUGGCUUGAUGGGGCUCUACGAACCAAAUCAAUGUAUCUAAUCUUUGUAGUUUGAAGGCUUUAAAAUGGCACAUGGCGAUUCAUGAAAAUGUGGGGAGCAGAUGCAUCUCAGAGGAAUUUCCACGAGAGAUUUCCUUGUAAAUUUGUUCAUGUUUCUCUUUUGCUAAUGCCAACUUCUUGUUUCUGUUGAAGUUAAUUGAGAGAGAUGAAGGGAACAAUACUCGGAAGUGGCAGGUUUGGUGAACCUAAGCUUCACCAAACAGGUGGCUUGAAUCUUGAUGGGGCUUUUACAAACCAGACCAAUGUAUCUAAUCUUCUUGUUUGAAGACUUUUAAGUUGGCAUAUGGCGUUUUCAUGAAAUUGUGGGGAGCUGAUGCAUCUCAGAGCAACUUCCAGAGAUUUCCUUUGUAAAUUUGUUCAUCUCUCUCUUUUGCUAAUCGCAGCUUCUUGCUUCUGUUGGUCAGUAUCUCUCUCUCUCUCUCUCUCUCAUGCACGCACACUAAAUAAAAAGAAAAAAAUUUCUUA